rnacentral:rRNA from 1 species
GGGACACGUGGUAUCCUGUCUGAAUAUGGGGGGACCAUCCUCCAAGGCUAAAUACUCCUGACUGACCGAUAGUGAACCAGUACCGUGAGGGAAAGGCGAAAAGAACCCCGGCGAGGGGAGUGAAAAAGAACCUGAAACCGUGUACGUACAAGCAGUGGGAGCACGCUUAGGCGUGUGACUGCGUACCUUUUGUAUAAUGGGUCAGCGACUUAUAUUCUGUAGCAAGGUUAACCGAAUAGGGGAGCCGAAGGGAAACCGAGUCUUAACUGGGCGUUAAGUUGCAGGGUAUAGACCCGAAACCCGGUGAUCUAGC